rnacentral:rRNA from 1 species
AUACGGAGGAUCCGAGCGUUAUCCGGAUUUAUUGGGUUUAAAGGGAGCGUAGGCGGACGCUUAAGUCAGUUGUGAAAGUUUGCGGCUCAACCGUAAAAUUGCAGUUGAUACUGGGUGUCUUGAGUACAGUAGAGGCAGGCGGAAUUCGUGGGGUAGCGGUGAAAUGCUUAGAUAUCACGAAGAAAUCCGAUUGCGAAGGCAGCCUGCUGGACUGUAACUGACGCUGAUGCUCGAAAGUGUGGGUAUCAAACAGGAUUAGAUACCCUGGUAGUCCACACAGUAAACGAUGAAUACUCGCUGUUUGCGAUAUACAGUAAGCGGCCAAGCGAAAGCGUUAAGUAUUCCACCUGGGGAGUACGCCGGCAACGGUGAAACUCAAAGGAAUUGACGGGG